rnacentral:rRNA from 1 species
GUAGGGGGCGAGCGUUGUCCGGAUUUAUUGGGCGUAAAGAGCUCGUAGGCGGUUUGGUAAGUCGGGUGUGAAAUCUCCACGCUCAACGUGGAGGGGCCACUCGAUACUGCCAUGACUCGAGUCCGGUAGAGGAGUGUGGAAUUCCCGGUGUAGCGGUGAAAUGCGCAGAUAUCGGGAGGAACACCCGUAGCGAAGGCGGCACUCUGGGCCGGAACUGGCGCUGAGGAGCGAAAGCGUGGGGAGCAAACAGGAUUAGAUACCCUGGUAGUCCACGCCGUAAACGUUGGGCACUAGGUGUGGGGAUCUAUCGACGGUUUCCGUGCCGAAGCUAACGCAUUAAGUGCCCCGCCUGGGGAGUACGGCCGCAAGGCUA